CUCAAACGAUGAAGCUAUUAAAACUUCGGAGGAACAUUGUAAAACUCUCUUUGUAUCGGCAUUUCACCAACACGCUUAUUUUGGCAGUGGCAGCAUCCAUUGUGUUUAUCAUCUGGACAACCAUGAAGUUCAGAAUAGUGACAUGUCAGUCGGACUGGCGGGAGCUGUGGGUAGACGAUGCCAUCUGGCGCUUGCUGUUCUCCAUGAUCCUCUUUGUCAUCAUGGUUCUCUGGCGACCAUCUGCAAACAACCAGAGGUUCUUGGACUCUUCUGUUUAUUCUGCUAACAUGAGAUGACCAUGUCAUCAAUUAGGGGUGGUGCAUUGGGGGACAGUAUCAGGGCUGUGUCAUACAGUGGAAGGAACACUGGGCCUGGAAUCAGAAGAACUGGGUUCCUAUCUCAGCUCUCCUCUUACCUUCAUGAUUUUUGGCAUGCGGCCUCUCCACCUCUCUGGCCUUA
rnacentral:sRNA from 1 species